ACCGACCCACAUUGUUGCGGGAAGCUGUAGGGGGACGCAGGAAGGUAGAUGAACCCGGUGAAUGGUAGAACCGGGGUAAGCGUGUAGGAGGAGGACCAGGUAAAUCCGGGCCUCAUAAACUCUGAGACGUGAUACCGAGCCGCUUCAGGCGAAGUCAUUGAUCCUAUGCUGCCUAGAAAAGCCCAGCAGCGAGUUGACAUGGUGCCCGUACCCCAAACCAACACAGGUGGACAGGUAGAGCAUACCAAGGCGAGUGGGAUAACUAUGGUUAAGGAACUCGGCAAAUUGCCUCCGUAACUUCGGGAGAAGGAGGACCCCAGUAGCGUGAUGAGACUUGCUCUCUGAGCGUGAAGGGGUGGCACAAAAUAGAGGGAAGCGACUGUUUACCAAAAACACAGCAGCGUGCUAAGCCGUAAGGCGCUGUAUACGCUGUGACUCCUGCCCGGUGCUGGAAGGUUACGGGGAUGGGUUAGUCCUUCGGGACGAAGCUCUGAACCUAAGCCCCAGUAAACGGCGGCCGUAACUAUAACGGUCCUAAGGUAGCGAAAUUCCUUGUCGGGUAAGUUCCGACCUGCACGAAUGGAGUAACGACUUCCCUACUGUCUCAACCAUAGACCCAGCGAAAUUGAAGUACGAGUAAAGAUGCUCGUUAGCUGCAGUAGGACGGAAAGACCCCGUGGACCUUUACUAUAACUUGAUGUUGUGUUUUGUCAUAUGUUGUGUAGGAUAGGUGGGAGACUUGGAAGCAUGGACGCUAGUCUGUGUGGAGUCAUCGUUGAAAUACCACCCUGCAUAUGGUGAGGCUCUAACCUAGACCCGUUAUCCGGGUUGGGGACAGCGUCAGGCGGGUAGUUUAACUGGGGCGGUUGCCUCCUAAAGAGUAACGGAGGCGCCCAAAGGUUCCCUCAGCCUGGUUGGCAAUCAGGCGUUGAGUGCAAUGGCAAAAGGGAGCUUGACUGCGAGACCUACAAGUCGAGCAGGAGCGAAAGCUGGGCAUAGUGAUCCGGCGGUUGCGUGUGGAAGCUCCGUCGCUCAACGGAUAAAAGGUACCCCGGGGAUAACAGGCUAAUCUUGCCCGAGCGUCCAUAGCGACGGCAAGGUUUGGCACCUCGAUGUCGGCUCAUCGCAUCCUGGGGCUGAAGCAGGUCCCAAGGGUUGGGCUGUUCGCCCAUUAAAGCGGUACGCGAGCUGGGUUCAGAACGUCGUGAGACAGUUCGGUCCCUAUCCUCUGCAGCCGGAGGUGAAUUGAGGAAAGCUGUCCCUAGUACGAGAGGACCGGGACGGACGCAGCUCUCGUGUGCCAGUUGUCCUGCCAAGGGCAUGGCUGGUUAGCGACCUGCGGAAAGGAUAACCGCUGAAAGCAUCUAAGCGGGAAGCCUCUUCCAAGAUGAAUUCACCCACAGGGUUAACCUGGUAAGGCCCGUGGUAGACCACCACGUUGAUAGGCCGGAAGUGUAAGCGUGGCAACACGUUCAGCUGACCGGUACUAAUCGGCCGAGGGCUUGAGUC
rnacentral:rRNA from 1 species